rnacentral:rRNA from 1 species
AUUGAACGCUGGCGGCAUGCCUUACACAUGCAAGUCGAACGGCAGCGGACCUUCGGGUGCCGGCGAGUGGCGAACGGGUGAGUAAUGCAUCGGAACGUACCUUUCAGUGGGGGAUAACGUAGCGAAAGUUACGCUAAUACCUCAUAUUCUGUGAGCAGGAAAGCAGGGGAUCGCAAGACCUUGCGCGGAUUGAGCGGCCGAUGUCAGAUUAGCUAGUUGGUGAGGUAAAGGCUCACCAAGGCGACGAUCUGUAGCGGGUCUGAGAGGAUGAUCCGCCACACUGGGACUGAGACGCGGCCCAGACUCCUACGGGAGGCAGCAGUGGGGAAUUUUGGACAAUGGGGGCAACCCUGAUCCAGCCAUGCCGCGUGAGUGAAGAAGGCCUUCGGGUUGUAAAGCUCUUUCGGCCGGGAAGAAAUCGCACAGGCUAAUACCUUGUGUGGAUGACGGUACCGGAAUAAGAAGCACCGGCUAACUACGUGCCAGCAGCCGCCGUAA